CUACGGGUUGCUGCAGUGGGGAAUAUUGGACAAUGGGCGAAAGCCUGAUCCAGCAAUGCCGCGUGAGUGAUGAAGGCCUUAGGGUUGUAAAGCUCUUUUACUGGGGAUGAUAAUGACAGUACCCAGAGAAUAAGCCCCGGCUAACUCCGUGCCAGCAGCCGCGGUAAUACGGAGGGGGCUAGCGUUGUUCGGAAAUACUGGGCGUAAAGCGCACGUAGGCGGUGAAGUAAGUCAGAGGUGAAAUCCCAGGGCUCAACCCUGGAACUGCCUUUGAAACUGCUACACUAGAAUCUUGGAGAGGUCAGUGGAAUUCCGAGUGUAGAGGUGAAAUUCGUAGAUAUUCGGAAGAACACCAGUGGCGAAGGCGACUGACUGGACAAGUAUUGACGCUGAGGUGCGAAAGCGUGGGGAGCAAACAGGAUUAGAUACCCCCGUAGUC
rnacentral:rRNA from 1 species